rnacentral:rRNA from 1 species
GAUGAACGCUGGCGGCGUGCCUAAUACAUGCAAGUCGAGCGAACAGACGAGGAGCUUGCUCCUCUGACGUUAGCGGCGAAUGGGUUUGUAACACGUGGAUAACCUACCUCUAAGACUGGGAUAACUUCGGGAAACCGGAGCUAAUACCGGAUAAUAUAUUGAACCGCAUGGUUCAAUAGUGAAAGACGGUUUUGCUGUCCCUUAUAGAUGGAUCCGCGCCGCAUUAGCUAGUUGGUAAGGUAACGGCUUACCAAGGCAACGAUGCGUAGCCGACCUGAGAGGGUGAUCGGCCACACUGGAACUGAGACACGGUCCAGACUCCUACGGGAGGCCGCAGUAGGGAAUCUUCCGCAAAGGGCGAAAGCCUGACGGAGCAACGCCGCGUGAGUGAUGAAGGUCUUCGGAUCGUAAAACUCUGUUAUUAGGGAAGAACAAAUGUGUAAGUAACUAUGCACGUCUUGACGGUACCUAAUCAGAAAGCCACGGCUAACUACGUG